rnacentral:lncRNA from 10 species
UGUGCGCUCUGCGCCCGCCCGCGCCUACCCUCCAUGGCGUUUAUCCGGAAGAAGCAGCAGGAGCAGCAGCUGCAGCUCUACUCCAAGGAGAGAUUUUCCUUGCUGCUGCUUAACUUGGAGGAGUACUACUUUGAACAGCAUAGAGCCAAUCACAUUUUGCACAAGGGCAGUCACCAUGAAAGAACUUAUCCUGGAUAAUGGACAACUUGUGCACUUUGCCCAGCAUCUCCCCAUUUCUUCCACCCCCUUUAAUUUCGUGAAGUUUAACUUACUCUUGCCUGAACAAAGCUCUGAGCUUUCCCACCUAAAAAAUUUUCGAAAAUCAGAGGCUCCUUAAAAAUAUGUUCAAAAUCGGUGAUUUUUGAACCAGAUUCAAUAUCCCAGCCCAUCAUCAAGAUUCCUUUGAGAGACUGUAUAAAAAUAGGAAAGCAUGGAGAAAAUGGAGCCAAUAGACACUUCACAAAGGCAAAAUCUGGGGGUAUUUCACUCAUUUUCAGUCAGGUAUAUUUCAUUAAAGAACAUAAUGUUGUUGCACCAUAUAAAAUAGAAAGGGGCAAAAUGGAAUAUGUUUUUGAAUUGGAU